AAAAUCCGUUGACUUUUAAAAUCGUGAGGGUUCAAGUCGGUUCAAGUCCAA
rnacentral:tRNA from 1 species